GACAGAGGGUGCAAACGUUGCUCGGAAUUACUGGGCGUAAAGCGCGUGUAGGCGGACUGGUGUGUCGGAUGUGAAAUCCCCAGGCUCAACCUGGGAACUGCAUUCGAAACUGCCAGCCUUGAGUGGUGGAGAGGGAAGUGGAAUUCCUGGUGUAGAGGUGAAAUGCGUAGAGAUCAGGAAGAACAUCGGUGGCGAAGGCGCUCUGCUGGACCAUAACUGACACUCAGGGACGAAAGCUAGGGGAGCGAAUGGG
rnacentral:rRNA from 1 species